rnacentral:sRNA from 1 species
AUGUAUGUAAGAAGCAGCUUAGGUACACAUUGCAUCUAAAAGUAGAGAAAUCAAGCUUUUUGUCAACUUCAUGUCUUUUAUAUAUCAAUUGGAGAUGCUGUUAUAUUGAUAUACAAUGUACAUGUACCAUACGAAAUUACUUAUUUACAGAGCCUGUAAAUUUUAAACUAGGUAAGUGGUGGAAUUUGCAUCUACUGUGAACAUUGAAUUCAUUGUAUGACAUUUUAAAAAAAAAAAUAUGUAUCAAAAUGUUCUUGGCAACAUACAUGUAUUAUAAAAGCUGUUUGAAUAUGUUUUAUAUCCUGAUAACUACCAAACCUUGGUAUAAAUUGUAUACCUUUGAUGAAAGAUCUAUUUGAUUAAGCACCAGAUAUUUUGAUUCAGAUAGUGCGUUUUGAGCCGCAUGUUCAUUGUUAAACAGAUUUCUCCUGUCUCUUAGUGUAGAUAAUUUCAAUAGGUUGUACACCCAUCACAUACCAGAAUUUGUGAAUAAAUUUAUUAAAUUUUUAGGUCACCCGAGUUAUUUUUAAGUUAUUUUAAAUCAACAAGUCUCUUCGUUUCAUACCUACAACUUUAUUUGUAAUAAAUGUCACCUACUUGACAUUUAUCAUACUUCAUGAUCAUUGUAAAUCACUUUGUUACUGUCAAACUAGUUAAAUAUAAAGAGUUCUAAAAGUUGCUGGGUUUUUUUUUUAAACUAAAUUCUUAUCUCUCUACAUAUUAAGUGAAAAACCUUCGGUACAAAUAUUCUGUCAAAAUGUGUUUUACAUGUAUAUUAAACAUUCAUUAGAUGUACUAUUUUGUUGAAAUAAAAAGUCGAAUUCAUGUG